rnacentral:misc_RNA from 1 species
CCUGCUCCUGUGUCCCAGUUUU